UCACCCCCGUCGACUGUUCCACAUCCCCUCACCGCAUGAAAAAUUGAAUACUGCAACUUGAAUCGUUUCGCAUCUAUGUCAAACCGUCAGAGAUACACUUGAAAUCCAUGAAGGGAGUAUAAAUCCAUCAAAUGGUACCUACAUUGCACUCGGUUUGGGUUAGAUUUGACUCCUAGGGUUCCGGUCGAGACUUCCAGAGGUAAGAUGGUUUAUGGAUGCUUGUAUUGCUCGAUUUCAUACAUGAAAAGUUUGCCGAUUUCGACAUCUCUUUGGUUGUCAGAGCGUUAGUUGACUCGACAGUCAAUCUCAAGACGAGCGAGUCGAUUUUACUUAAGUUCGAAGGGAUCGCCAGUCUCCUCUGGUAGUUAUUAUUUCUUGUAGAUUUAAGUUAUUAUUAUAGUUGUGACACGUGACUUGAUUUUAACUCACUUUGACUUCCAUGCUGUGUUGAUUCACUCAUAUAUAGUGCUGUUAACCAUGAUUUUGUAAACUGUUGCAAUUGUGCUGAUGAUAUAGAAGUCCCUUCAGUUGAGGUAGGUGAGGUAAGAUUGUUAUUAACGUGUUUAUGCUAUUGAAUUAUGAUUAAUAUUGUUGAAAUAUUUCAUAUUAUAAAAAAUUAACGCAAAAGAAGUCAGUAGAGAAGUAUGAGAAGAAAAUAUGAAGGUGGAAAAACUUUAGUCAUAUCAAUUUGUAACUGACCUGUUAGUUAUUCUUGUUAGCUAGAUGUGUCAACUCAUUUUUACUACCGGAAUCCAUUUAAGCCUGACCCAAACCCGUUAAUUUAUCUUUCGCUUGGUGUAACCCGACCCCUGUUAUGUUUUCUUUAUCUGCUAAUUACACACAAAACCAACUCUUAUGAGGCUAAAAUCCGUGUAAUUUUGUUAAUUUUACAUCAGGGUAGUUUUGUCAUUAAUCAUUUUAUGUAGAGUUUUAUUCUUUAUUGCCAAAUAUUUUACAUUUCAAAGGAAAUUUCAGAAACAAUAAUCAGUCAAACAUUUUCGGAUUUUUAAUUUCUUGUUGUAUUCUAACGUAGGGCAGCCUAAAUGACACCUACUUACCACGUGUUGUACAAAGCACACAUAUCAUGCUUCUUCCUUCUAGAAGAGAGUUUAGGGAUAUUUGUGUUGUUUUUGAGUUGAUGGAAUUUGACCUUCAGUUUGGUUAUAUUCAGGGUGGCAGGACCAGGGUACUGGUUAUGUUCAAUUUGGAUGUGUUAUGUGGCCUAUGUAGGGCGGAUCUAUGAUUUGUUUGCUUUAGAUGCUUUUUCUAUAUUGAUUUGAACCAGUAUCUUUUUUUAUGUAACAUGUUCGAGCAAGACGAUGGAGUCAAGUCAUUUUUGGAACUAUGGCCAGUGCACCAAAUACUCUUUAGCAAACUUGGAGGCUGGUGCUUUGGCUUUAAAAAUAGAUCUCAUAGGACGGACUCAACAGAGAAAACAAUUGGUUAGAAAAAAACAACCAGUUUGUGAUUUCAGGUUGUAGACAUGCAGGUAAAGCAAAAGGAUAACUAUCUUAUCUAAAUCACCAUCAUAGCCGAGGGUUUGGGGACCAAAAAGAGAGAGACUUGGGAGUUAGAGAGAUAAAAGAUCCAAGACUUAGCCAUGAACUGCCACCGCCCCAUCAGAAAUCUUAAAAAGGCAAUAACUCUAUUGUAGUUUCGAGUACUCUACACAUAUACAAGAGAGGCAAACUAUAAGCAAACUAUAUUUUGCCUAUAGUUGCUGGCCGGUGACCAUGAAACAGACGAGUUCCUGCUUAUAUCUGGAAGAGUUUUACUGUUGUAGAAUUGAUGAUACAGUUAGUGAUUUUAAUACUGUCGUAGAAUUGAUGACACAGUUAGUGAUUUUAAAGCUCACGUUUCAUUUCAAAAACCACAAAGGCAUAAUUAAUUUUUUAAUGUGAGUUGCUUAUACACAACAA